CUAGCUACAGGCUUAACACAUGCAAGUCGAGGGGAAACGACAUCGAAAGCUUGCUUUUGAUGGGCGUCGACCGGCGCACGGGUGAGUAACGCGUAUCCAACCUGCCCACCACUUGGGGAUAACCUUGCGAAAGUAAGACUAAUACCCAAUGAUAUCUCUAGAAGACAUCUGAAAGAGAUUAAAGAUUUAUCGGUGAUGGAUGGGGAUGCGUCUGAUUAGCUUGUUGGCGGGGUAACGGCCCACCAAGGCGACGAUCAGUAGGGGUUCUGAGAGGAAGGUCCCCCACAUUGGAACUGAGACACGGUCCAAACUCCUACGGGAGGCAGCAGUGAGGAAUAUUGGUCAAUGGGCGAGAGCCUGAACCAGCCAAGUAGCGUGCAGGAUGACGGCCCUAUGGGUUGUAAACUGCUUUUAUAAGGGAAUAAAGUGAGUCUCGUGAGACUUUUUGCAUGUACCUUAUGAAUAAGGACCGGCUAAUUCCGUGCCAGCAGCCGCGGUAAUACGGAAGGUCCGGGCGUUAUCCGGAUUUAUUGGGUUUAAAGGGAGCGUAGGCCGGAGAUUAAGCGUGUUGUGAAAUGUAGAUGCUCAACAUCUGAACUGCAGCGCGAACUGGUUUCCUUGAGUACGCACAAAGUGGGCGGAAUUCGUGGUGUAGCGGUGAAAUGCUUAGAUAUCACGAAGAACUCCGAUUGCGAAGGCAGCUCACUGGAGCGCAACUGACGCUGAAGCUCGAAAGUGCGGGUAUCGAACAGGAUUAGAUACCCUGGUAGUCCGCACGGUAAACGAUGGAUGCCCGCUGUUGGUCUGAAUAGGUCAGCGGCCAAGCGAAAGCAUUAAGCAUCCCACCUGGGGAGUACGCCGGCAACGGUGAAACUCAAA
rnacentral:rRNA from 1 species